rnacentral:rRNA from 1 species
GGAAAAGAAACUAACUAGGAUUCCCUUAGUAACGGCGAGUGAACCGGGAUGAGCUCAAAUUUAAAAUCUGGCGUCUUUCAGGCGUCCGAGUUGUAAUCUAUAGAGGCGUUUUCCGCGCCGGACCGCGUCCAAGUCUCUUGGAAUAGAGUAUCAAAGAGGGUGACAAUCCCGUACUUGACGCGACAACCGGUGCUCUGUGAUACGUUCUCAAUGAGUCGAGUUGUUUGGGAAUGCAGCUCUAAAUGGGUGGUAAAUUCCAUCUAAGGCUAAAUAUUGGCGAGAGACCGAUAGCGAACAAGUACCGUGAGGGAAAGAUGAAAAGCACUUUGGAAAGAGAGUUAAACAGCACGUGAAAUUGUUAAAAGGGAAACGAUUGAAGUCAGUCGUGUGAAAGGUAUUCAGCCGUCUCUGGCGGUGUAUUUGCCUUUCACGGGUCAACAUCAGUUUGAUCCGGUAGAAAAAGGCGGGAGGAAGGUGGCACCCUCGGGUGUGUUAUAGCCUCCUGUCAUAUGUGCCGGACCAGACUGAGGAACGCAGCUUGCCGCAAGGCCGGGGUUCGCCCACGUACAAGCUUAGGAUGU